rnacentral:rRNA from 1 species
UACGUAGGUGGCGAGCGUUGUCCGGAUUUAUUGGGCGUAAAGAGCUCGUAGGCGGUUCGGUAAGUCGGAUGUGAAAUCUCCAGGCUCAACCUGGAGGGGUCAUUCGAUACUGCCGUGACUAGAGUUCGGUAGGGAAGUGUGGAAUUCCUGGUGGAGCGGUGAAAUGCGCAGAUAUCAGGAGGAACACCCGUAGCGAAGGCGGCACUCUGGGCCGAUACUGACACUGAGGAGCGAAAGCGUGGGGAGCGAACAGG